rnacentral:misc_RNA from 1 species
GAUGAAGAACGUAGCGAAAUGCGAUAAGUAGUGUGAAUUGCAGAAUUCAGUGAAUCAUCGAGUCUUUGAACGCACAUUGCGCCCUCUGGUAUUCCGGAGGGCAUGCCUGUCCGAGCGUCAUUGCUGCCCUCAAGCACGGCUUGUGUGUUGGGCCCCCGUCCCCCCCUCUGCCGGGGGGACGGGCCCGAAAGGCAGCGGCGGCACCGCGUCCGGUCCUCGAGCGUAUGGGGCUUCGUCACCCGCUCUUGUAGGCCCGGCCGGCGCCAGCCGACCCCAACCCUAAAUUUUUUUCAGGUUGACCUCGGAUCAGGUAGGGAUACCCGCUGAACUUAAGCAUAUCAAUAAGCGGAGGA